CUGCCCUCUUAGUGCAGUAGGCAGCACGUCAGUCUCAUACUCUGAAGGUCCUGAGAUCGAAUCUCAGAGGGCAGA
rnacentral:tRNA from 1 species